CACCCAAAAUUUGGUUAGAAAAGUCUAGGGGCCAGCAAUUUUAUUGCAUUUUGGCCAGCAUAUAAUCAGCAGAGAAAGGUGAGCCAUUGGAUGAAAUUUCACACCAUCAAAUGAUCAUUGAUGGCUAAUUGAUGGCUACCAAUAACAAAUG